UACGUAGGUGGCAAGCGUUGUCCGGAUUUACUGGGCGUAAAGAGCGCGCAGGCGGUCGUCCAAGUCGCGUGUGAAAGCCCCCGGCUCAACUGGGGAGGGUCACGCGAUACUGGUCGACUCGAAGGCAGGAGAGGGGAGUGGAAUUCCCGGUGUAGUGGUGAAAUGCGUAGAUAUCGGGAGGAACACCAGUGGCGAAGGCGACUACCUGGCCUGUUCUUGACGCUGAGGCGCGAAAGCUAGGGGAGCAAACGGG
rnacentral:rRNA from 1 species